rnacentral:rRNA from 1 species
GUCGAACGAGACCUUCGGGUCUAGUGGCGCACGGGUGCGUAACGCGUGGGAAUCUGCCCUUGGGUUCGGAAUAACUUCGGGAAACUGAAGCUAAUACCGGAUGAUGACGAAAGUCCAAAGAUUUAUCGCUCUGAGAUAGGCCCGCGCAAGAUUAGUUUGUUGGUGAGGUAAUGGCUCACCAAGGCUACGAUCUUUAGCUGAUUUGAGAGGAUGAUCAGCCACACUGGGACUGAGACACGGCCCAGACUCC